AUGUGUUCAAUUAUUUGUUCCAGUUUGGUUUUUCAUUUUCUUUUCCUGGGAUUUCAUGUUACUUCUAAUGUCAUUUUUCCUUUCAGAGAAGUAGCUGAAAUCAAGAGCUGUGGAUUUGGAGGAGUGGACACUGAGAAUGCCCGUCCCACACGUCAGUGCUGUUUGAGAUACGGUGAAGCUGUGCCAGUGACAACCAUGAGAAGAGCUCUCUGCUCAGAUGGUUUCAGAGGCUGUCUACAUCCAGAGAAAGGUAAGAAUAAAUGUAAAGUUCCUGUUGCCAUUAGAGAUGAACAAAUGUUUGAGAGAAAUCCUCGCUGGUCUCCAGCUGGACAGGGGCUGUGGCAGUGACCUUCUCCUGUCUCCACAACCAAUUUAGCAGGACACCUCCACGCUUUUCCAAAGCCUAGAAUUUAACAAAACCAUACUGGGGUGCUCCAAAGAGGUGUGAGUCCUCUCCCAGCAGCACAAGAGCAGGAUGGGAAAGAUGGCGUGGCCCAGGCCAUUGCAGACCAAGCCCUUUCCUUGCCACUGACUUGCUUCAGUGAGAGCCUUCCCCGUCCGGGCUUGUCCCUGCUCCAGUCUUUGGGCUGUUUCACUUAGGAGCUUCCCAGGAAAGACGACCAGCGUGCUGAGGGUCUCCUGCAGUGCCUCGCGUGUUGGGGCGGGUGGGAAACCAGCCUGGAGGGGACGAGGUGGCACAGCUUCUCUGGUGCAGCAUCCUGGGGACGGUGGUGACUCAGUUGCUGUCUGUCACCCCAGUGCAGUCUUCCGGGGCUCGCUGCAGGUUUGUCAAGGAGCGCAGCACAGCAGGCACAAUUUGUCAAAAUGGUCUGAAAACUGACAACAUAUCUCUGGCAUUGAGUGAGUUUUUAAAAAAGUAACAUUCAGGGUAAUCUGACAUCUGUUCUCAGCCAGCUAUCGGGUCUGACAAUAGGGAAUGUAAGCACAAUAGGAUGUCACAUGAAGAGGUCUGAAUUUCACAUUGUUUCUUCUCCUUUAUGCUGGAAUAAUUUCUUAGCAGUGUAGAAAACCUAUUUCUCACCCUUUCGCAUUCUCCUGGCAGAUCUUUGAAUAUUAAUGCUGUCUCUGGCAUCCAUGAGUCAAAGCACUCUGCGCUGGGUUGAUGAGGGUUGUAGGACAUGAGCGACAUCCCCAUCUCCUGCACGGGCAGCGAGCAAAGUCCCCGUGCUGCAGUGGCACCUCGUGCUGCGGUACAGGGCGGCACUCACUUGGCAGGACCCUGGCCUGGGAAUUGGGAGGCCGAGAUUUAUCGAGCAGCUCUGGCACUGGCUUGCCUUUUGUCCAUGCUCUGCUGGUGACGUCAAAAGCACGGUGACUGUUCUUCAAA
rnacentral:lncRNA from 1 species